CGCAUCUGUGCAUGCAGCAUAUCAAUAAGCGGAGGAAAAGAAACUAACAAGGAUUCCCUUAGUAACGGCGAGUGAAGCGGGAAGAGCUCAAAUUUGAAAUCUUCAAGGUUUUACCUUGACGAAUUGUAGUUUAAAGAAGUGUUUUCUGUUGAAGUUUUGGUAAAAGUUCUUUGGAAUAGGACAUCAUAGAGGGUGAGAAUCCCGUAUUUGACCAUUAUUUUCAGCUGUGUGAUACACUUUCAAAGAGUCGGAUUGUUUGGGAAUGCAGUCCAAAAUGGGUGGUAAAUUUCAUCUAAAGCUAAAUAUUGGCGAGAGACCGAUAGCGAACAAGUACCGUGAGGGAAAGAUGAAAAGAACUUUGAAAAGAGAGUUAAACAGUACGUGAAAUUGUCAAAAGGGAAGCGUUUGACACCAGUGUUGUUUUCUCGAAAAUCAAUUAAAAAGAGUUUGAUUUUGUUGUGUAUUGACCUUAACAGCUUGCAUUUCAAUUUUCUUGCUUUUUUUAAUGCACUUUUCGUUUAACAAGUCAACAUCAGUUUCUUUUGUUGUAAAAAGGUCAUUGGAAGGUGGCUUUCUUUUCGGAGAAAGUGUUUAUAGCCUUUGACUCCUGCAAUCGGAGAGACUGAGGUCUGCAGCGUAGAUCCUUCGGGGUUGGAUACAUUUGUGCUAAGUUAUAGCUUUUUAUAGACAACUUGUUGACUAUGAUUAGUCUUGUAGCUUACUCGCUUAUGCUAUUUUACCUACGCUUAGGAUGUUGACACACGCGCGUGCUCG
rnacentral:rRNA from 1 species